rnacentral:rRNA from 1 species
GACAAACGCUGGCGGCGUGCUUAACACAUGCAAGUCGAGCGGUAAGGCCCUUUCGGGGGUACACGAGCGGCGAACGGGUGAGUAACACGUGGGUGACCUGCCCUCAGCUCUGGGAUAAGCCUGGGAAACCGGGUCUAAUACUGGAUAUGACUCCAUGACGCAUGUUGUGGGGUGGAAAGCCUUGUGCGGCUGAGGAUGGGCCCGCGGCCUAUCAGCUUGUUGGUGGGGUGANGGCCUACCAAGGCGACGACGGGUAGCCGGCCUGAGAGGGCGACCGGCCACACUGGGACUGAGACACGGCCCAGACUCCUACGGGAGGCAGCAGUGGGGAAUCUUGCGCAAUGGGCGAAAGCCUGACGCAGCGACGCCGCGUGAGGGAUGACGGCCUGGUGUAAC